GUCAAAAUGGCGAAGAUGGAGACAUUCGAUAUCGUCUGAAGGAAAUUAUCUUUAAUUUAGAUUGACGUACUAAUACAUUUAAGUGUUAAAAGAUACAAUAAUUCUGUAGGUAUUUCAAGACAUAUAUAACAGUCAUGGCUUUACAUUUUAAUGUCUUAUUUAGUAGAUAAAACUUUAAUCUUCUUAAGUUGCCUUUCGUUGUCCUCAGAGGCUCAGUCUCAGCAUCUCAAAACCUUAUAUUCAAUUUUAUCUUACCCUUUCGGCAAAAAUUAUUUAGAUGGCUGUUUAUACACUUAAAAUAUAUAUUGAGAGCAGACCUGUACAUUCGGAGGAAAAAUUUAAUGCAGGACCUAGAAAAGAUAUAUAUUUAAAAAAAAAAUGGCAUUAAAAUGCAUCUUUAUUAAAGUGAGUGACUAUUUAUCAACAAGGAGAGUCAAGAAGCGACAAGAAGAAUAACUUAGUAACAAGAUAACUAAUAUUUAGCACAUGAAAAUAAAUUUGGGUCAAACUAUCUUAAUAAACGAUUAUUUGAAAAAGAAAAUGAUUUAGAAACGUGCAUUUAAAUGUGUGGUUUUUUUUUAAUAUAGGCAAAUUUUUGUAUAAUUUCACAAGCAUUUGAUUAUGUAAAAGUAUAUACAUCAAAGGUUCAAACCAAAUUAUAAUCUUUAUUUAUUUCACAAAAAAAGUACAUAUAUUAAAAAAAAAAUUUAAAGGAUGGGUAACUAAAUUGUUACAAAAUGUAUGUUCAGAUUGAUACAUUUUGUUCAUAAUGCAGGCACGGAUCCAGAGGGGGGGUUCCGGGGGUUGGAACCCCCCUUUAUUUUGGACGAUCAAUGCAUUUGAAUGGGGACAUGUAAUUGGAACCCCCCCUUUGUCCUGGGUUAGGAACCCCCCCCCCUUUUUUAAAAUGGCUGGAUCCGCCCCUGUAAUGACAUAUUUUAAUUUAAAAUAAUGUAAUAAAAUUUAAUUUGAAAAAAAUCUUUACAGGAGCACUGUAUGUAGUUGUUGUCUGCCAGCGUAAUAAAGUUAUAGCGUAACUUGUGUUAAAAUUGAAUGAUAAAAAGUGUGAAGUGCAGGUAAUUCAGUGUUUCUUGGUCAACAAUAAUUAAAUUAUUGUGAAAAAAUGUUCUACCUUUGGAACUUAGAGCUAAAUUUUGUGAGGCAGUCUUGAAAACUAGAAGAUCCAAAUUAGGAACAUAACACCCUAUCUUCUUUAACAAUUUUCUAUUAGCUUAACCUUAAACCACUUAUUAUCAGUCAGGGGACUUAUUGAAAUAAGUGAUUUUUAGGCAGUUAAGCUGCCUUAUGCGAGCACCCUGGCUUUGUGUUCUACCCUAAAAAUGCUAAAAUAUGUGCCAUUGUUAUUAUCUAGCUGGAUAUUAUGUUAUUUAUAACUUAUUGGGCAGUUUUUUCAUACUUUUAGUUCUGGUUUACAAAAUAUAUGACCAGAAAAACCUUAAAUGAUUGUCGAUUUUCCCAAAAGUUUUGAAGUUGCACAUAGGAAGUAGAGCACAUUAAGAAUCCUAUGUAGUUUAUUAUCACCUGAGCUUUUGGCUACGAUGUCAAAGAACAAAUGUAUGAAAUAUUUAAUCGCCGAAAAUCUCUAAAGACAAGUAGUUUAGAUUUCCCAAAUCGCAGAAGUCGUAGGAAUAUUGUUUGUCGUCGAUACGUAGUCAACUACGUCAGUAGUCUAUUAUAAGAAGUUCAACUGUUCACACUGUUGGCGGCAAUUUUGAAUUUGAAGAUGAAAUUUUCGUAUCUUUUCAAUUUGGACGCAGGGGUUCAAAUUAGCGAUUGUCCUCCCACUUUUGCAGUCGGACUUUCUACUUGGUUACUAGCUACGCCCGACAUGCCCGACGGACCUUGGAAGAAAAUAAAAAUAACUUUGCAAACAUUUUUACCAAAGUCUCCUAAUAGAUCGAUCUUAACUUAUUUUCAUCAUUAUUUUUCAUGACGGAGAUGUUCAUUUUGUUCAACCGCUAGCUUUAGACAGAAAAUCGUUGACAAAUAGUGUUUAAAUACGACUAAAAUCGUAUCUGAUUGACAAAAACGACAUUGUAAACACAAUAAAAUGGCUGCCGUGAAGACAAAAUUUUAACAAUAUCGGAUCCGAUUCCGGAAGCGGAUAAGGGAAAUUCCGGGUUUCUCAUGUAUGAGACUAAAUAACUAAUCAAACGAAAUAUAGGGAAAGUCCCUAGGGUCACCCCACCCCUCAUGUUUUAGAACUUAGAAACAGUUGAGAUCCCAACCCCUUAACUAUAUUUAUUCAUGUAUGGAACAAUAUAUAUGAUAAAAUGAAAUAUGGGGGAGUCCCUGGGGAUCACCCCACCCCUCCUGUUUGAGAACUUGGUUAUGGUUGAGAUCCCUACCCCUAAACCAUAAAACUUCAUGUUUUGGACAAUAUAACAAAUCAAAUGAAAUAUGUAGGGGGAGUCCCUGGGGGUCACCCCUCCCCUCCUAUUUCAGAACUUUAAAAUGGAUUGAUUGAUUAUUGUUGCUUACGUCCAGUGCAAAUAUUUCAUGCAUAUUCAGGACGAGAACAAGUUAACAAUAAAUACAAUAGGUAGGUGUUGUAAUAGAGGCCAUCUAGGAUGAUGGUCGGGAAUUUGGACUGCCACUAGAAAAUGAGGUUAUAUUGGAUAGGGACAGAAAUUUUGCCUUGCAACAGGCCACCUAUACGGACCCCUCAAAGAGUUGUUGCAAGGGUUCUUAACGUGCAAAGAGCGUGGCAAUCUCUUACACGAGGCUCGAUUUAACGUCCCUUCUGACCGGACGUGACUGCGAACUUGAUACAUCCCGCACAGCCAAACGGACGCCCCAUUUCGGCAAGCGUUUUACUGCCGGUCGGGAGAAGACCAAGUGACCAUAUUUCUAUACCCCAGUCACCCUUGGGGAUAAAAUGGAUUGAGAUCCCCACUCUAAACCAUAUAUAUUCAUAUAUGGGACAAUUUAACAAAUCAUAUGAAAUAUAGGUGAAGUUUGUGGGGUCACGCUUCCCCUACUGUUUGAGAAUUUGAAAACGGUCGAGAUCCCCAAUCUUUAACCAUAUAUAUUCAUAUAAAAAAGAAGAUGUGGUAUGAUUGCCAAUGAGACAACUAACCACAAAAAGACCAAAAUGACACAAACAUUAACAACUAUAGGUCAUCCUAUGGCCUUCAACAAUGAGCAAAGUCCGUACCGCAUAGUCAGCUAUAAAAGGGCCCGAUAAGACAAUGUAAAACAAUUUAAACGAGAAAACAAAUAUGUAACACAUAAACAAACGACAACCACUGAAUUACAGGCUCCUGACUUGGGACAGGCACAUACAUAAAUUAUGUGUACAAUUACAUAUGAAUGUUUAAUGUUUGUUCUUUUAAAUCUUUAAAAAAAGCUGAAGCAACAUUGCCACAGUUUUCAUAGUUAUGUUUGCCUUGGUUUUUGGUUAACUGCCUACAGUACUUACAGUGCUUUGAUUAAAUUUUUAAAUCACUUAUUUAAGUAGCAAAUUUGAAGUUUUGUCCCAAAUUGUGAUUUUUUGUAGUUUUAUCAAAAUUUAAAACACAUAGGUUUACAUAUAUAAUAUCUUUUCAUUAGUAAAAUUGAAAAAAUGAACCUUUUGCUUCUUUUAAGUAGCAAGGUGUAUGUAUGCCUUUGAUGCAAUCGUUUAGCAUGUUUAGCUGUAAAUUCUAUUUUAGUUUAAAAAUGCUGUUAUAAAGGCUUUACAUAAUGAACUCAUACUUUCUUACUGUAACCGAUUUUUUCCAGCAGUGGGAGUAUUUUUCCUGUAAAAUUCAUGGUUUUAUCAUGUUUAUCUUACAGAUUAUGUAAUAAUUACUAUUUUUCGCCAUUAAAAUUUCACUGUUCGGGGGUGUUGAAAUUAAUGGGGGUCAUUAGAAUAAUGAUACUUAAAGAAAUGAUUUUUUUAUGGAAAUUGACUCGAGGAAUGAUACUAAACAAGUGAUUUUUAUGUCAUUAUCUGAAAUUCAGUACAAGGUCAUCACUUGACAUGACCGGUCUUCCUAUACAAUUCAGAUAGUUCUGAUAGUGCAUCCAAGAUAUUGUAGACAGUAUUAAACCAUAAUUUAGCAAAAUUUGAAUUUCCCAUUAUCUAGUUUUUAAUAGCAUUGGGCUCCUUUAUUAAAACACUACAUCAGUUUGUCAAAAGUUAAGUUUAAUAAAUAUUUCACUGUACCUUAGUACAUUAUGAAUGAUAUUCUUCCUGUUUACAUUUUUAUCAGGCAAGACAAAGAAAUUAUAUGUGUAUUGAUUAUUAUUUCCUUGGUCAGGAUGUUUUAAUUAACUUCCUCCUUGCAUUUUUAGAAUGGAAAAUAAUUAACAACAAUGAGUGUUUGGAAGAGACUGCAGAGAGUAGGGAAGUCUGCAUCGAAGUUCCAGUUUACUGCCUCAUACCAGGAAUUAGAAGUGGAAUGUACAAAGAAAUGGUAA
rnacentral:lncRNA from 1 species